rnacentral:rRNA from 1 species
CCUACGGGAGGCAGCAGUGAGGAAUAUUGGUCAAUGGACGAGAGCCUGAACCAGCCAAGUAGCGUGAAGGAUGACUGCCCUAUGGGUUGUAAACUUCUUUUAUAUGGGAAUAAAAUGUUCCACGUGUGGGAUUUUGUAUGUACCAUAUGAAUAAGGAACGGCCAACUCCGUGCCAGCAGCCGCGGUAAUACGGAGGAACCGAGCGUUAUCCGGAUUUAUUGGGUUUAAAGGGAGCGUAGGUGGAAUGUUAAGUCCGUUGUGAAAGUUUGCGGCUCAACCGUAAAAUUGCAGUUGAAACUGGCAGUCUUGAGUACAGGAGAGGUAGGCGGAAUUCGUGGUGUAGCGGUGAAAUGCUUAGAUAUCACGAAGAACUCCGAUUGCGAAGGCAGCUCACUGGACUGCAACUGACACUGAGGCUCGAAAGUGUGGGUAUCAAACAGGAUUAGAUACCCUGGUAGUC